UGAUUUCUCUUCUUUUCUUUUGGUUUGGCAGGUGCCUAGAUUUUUGUCUUUGCACAGGGCAAUGAAAUGGCAGAUGAUCUGGUAACAGUGACAAGAACAAAAUCCCACAUACAACUUAAAAAAAAAAUGAAGAGGCCCUGGAACUGGAUUCAACAGAUUGAGAGGAGGACAAGAUGCCUCAUGCAGCCACUGCUGCUUCAGCCUGAGUCUCAGUAUGAGAAAUGAGGACCACAUGCUCCUGACAAUUGCUGAUCCACCUACAGUUGAUCCUGCAGUCUGGAGCCUAUAGUCCUACCCGUCUUGGCCCUGGAACAGCCCCUCUGCUGCUGAUGGGUAUGAGAAAAAAUGAUUGUUGCUUCAAGUCUAUGAGUGUUAGGGUGCUUUGUUAUUCAGCAUUGUUGUGUGAAUAGCUGACUAAUACAGAUGACCUCCUGAGAUUUUUUUCUAACUCUAUAAAGACAUAUUGACUAUGAAAAUUUCUCAAGUUAUUCCGUUCCAUAAGUGUAUCCAACAGUACUUUGCAAUGUAAUGUGGAUAUUUAGUGCUUUCAACUAAAUGACUUUUCUCUGCAUUGGAAGAACUGGAUCAGUUAAAUAAAUAGAAGUGUGUUUUGAGGGAAUUCUAGAUAUAAUAGGUAUUAAGUGCUGUCUAGUAUAAAGGUAUAAAGGCUGACUAUAUAUUGUGCACUUGGAAUUUGGGAAUUUGAUACUUAUAGGCAUUCCGAGACAUUGUAGAAAGUGAAUUUUGUGCGAAACUCAAAGUGUUCAGAAGUGCUAUGUUGUUUUAAACAGUUCUUAAGUUUGAGCAAACUUCACUCAUAAGCUUUCUAAUUUUCUAAGUAGAAAAAAAAUUUUCAUAUCACAAAGAAUGCAAGUGUGAGGAGCAGUUAGUUCCAAACUGCCUGCUGCUUUCCAGCUAGGAUUGUGUGCAGUUUAUGUCAAAACACUUCAGCAAAGGAAUACAAAUACAGACUAAUGUUUGACUUCUUUUGUUGUGUUGAACUGGAGCCAGCAAAAGUAUUUAUAUAUAAAUCCACUUGUGAAAUGCAUAACCCUUUCAAUGUGACUUAUAUGUUUAAGGCUUAAAGAGAAUUUGGGUUGAUUGACAGAAGCUACCGCUCUUAUAAUGUCAAAAUGUAUGACUGCUUAUGUGGAAACUUUUAAAUUCACUCUUUUUGCUGAGGGAUGUUUACCUUCUGAUUAAGUGCUACUGCAUUAGCACUGAACACUUACUUGCCCUACUAUGUGUAUUGUAAAGCAUAAGCCUUCAAUAUUCGCACCUUCCUUCUUCUCUUUAAAAACCCAAGGGAAACAAAUCCCCCCAAACCCCAAGUGUAUGCCUAAAAUAUCUACUUAGACAUUGCCUGAGGGAAAAAUAGAUGGCUUUGCUGUUUUAAACACUUGAACAUAAUGUAGGUAUAAAAGAGAGUCCUGUCAUAUGGAGUCAAAUAUUUCCCUCCUCUCUUGAACAGUAAUAUUCUGCAAAACUGUUUUCUUCUUAGUUCUUAGUGAGGAACUAAGACAUGGCUUUUGAAUCUAUGAUUUAGAUGAGCUUCUGUGGAUGAACGAAUAUAAAAAAGCACAGGCACAUCAGAUGUCUGAGACACCAUGGAGGAAUGUCAUGUCUCCAUUUUUCAAAAGCUCCAUCCUCCCAUUUUGUUGAACUUUAGUACCUUGUUUAAAUUUUUAUUGCAUUCCCACAUAGUGUUAUGCAUAAGUAUAUAAGAAAUGCCACAACAGAUUAGGUCAAUGGUCCAUCUUGCCUGCCUCUGAGGGAUGUUUGGUAGGGAGAUAAGGUUGUCUUUCUUGACAUCACUCUGAAAACAUUAGGGAUCCACUGCACACAUUCCUCACACCCCUUUAAUAUUCCAUUAUCGAGCCAGCAUUUGAGAAUUUUCCUAAACCUUUUAAAACUUAUUUAUAGUUUCACCCUUUGUUAUUCUUUUGGGAACAUAAGAUCACUGCAUAAUUUGUAUUAAAAAAAAUGGCCUCCUCCAAGUUUUAAGAGUUGGUUCCUGAGGUCUAGAAUUUUGAAACUGGAUGAAUAAGUUCCUGAUUAGAAAACCCACCUCUUCACAAUUUCAUAGAAUUUAGUUACCUGGUAGGCUGCUCCUAAAGUUUUUCCUAAUGAUCCACAAAUCCUGGUGUCCACACCCUUAUGCCCUUCCCUAUGCCUGAACUUGACCAAGUGACUUGCUCCUAAUGUAUAGAAUAUGCCAUGAGUGAUGACAUAUCAAUUUCAAGAUUAGGUUAUAAAAGUGUGACUUCCAUCUUUCUUGUGGACUCUGUGUCUUUCCGUGUGCUUGCUCUAAAGAAGUAAACUAUCAUGUCGUAAGCUGCUACAUGGGAAGGGGUCCACGUGACAACGACCCGAGGGCAACCUUUGGCCAACAGCUGGCAAGGAACUGAAGACCUCAGUCCAACAGCCCUUGAGAACCAGAUCCUGCCAACAAUAAUGUGGUGGGCUUGGAAGCUGAUUCUUCCCUUGCUGGACCUUCAGGUGAGGCAACAGACCCCAGUGACACCAUGACUGCAGCUUUGUAGGAGACUUGGAAAGGAAGUUGGGGGCCAUUUCAGAAGCAGCUUAUCAAGUAAUUAACCAGAGAUUGUGGAGGCAUUUGUCUCUAUGUUAAUUGUAUCUUUGAGAAUAGUCCUGCUUUAAGAUCCUAAGAGUUUGCCAUAUUGGUCCUCCAAAAAUAUUUUUAUUUUGAUCAUUUAUGUGACUUAAAAAUAAUUUAAGGAAUUCCUGUUGUGGUGCAAAGGGUUAAGAUUCCAACUGCAGCAGCUCAGGUUGCUGCGGAGGUGCGAGUUAGAUCCCCUGCCUGGUGCAGUGGGUUAAAGGAUUCAGCAUUGCUGCACCUGUGGUGUAGGUUGCAGCUGUGGCUAGGAUUCAAUCUCUAGCCUGGGAAUUUCCAUAUGCUGCAGGUGCAGCCAUAAAAAAAAAUAAUUUAAGCAUGAUCUUCACAGAUUUUUAUAUGGUAGAGGUAUUACUUAGUUAUUUCUGUGUAACAGACUACUUUAAAGCAAUAACUGUUUUUUUGGUUCCUGAUUCUGUGGGUUGGCAGUUGGCUGGGCUCGUCUGGGUAAUUAUGAUCUCUGCUAGACUCCUUCAUGAUCUGUCAUUGGUUGCAGGUCACCUAGCCAACUUUGCUGACCUUGGAUAGACUUUUUCACAUCUCUGAGGGCUCGACUGGGACUGACCCACAGACUCAAUUGUGUUCCAUGUGAUAUGAUCCAGCAAGCUAUCCCAGCAUACAUGGCAGCAUCAUCAUCCCAAGAAAACAGGCAGAAGCAGGGCCUCUUGGGUCCUAGGCUUAGGACUGACACAUCUGUUACUCCCACCAUGUUCUAUUGGCUAAAGUAAGUCACAAGGCCAGCCCUGAUUCAUGGGGUGGGGGAAAUUCAAAGUCAGCCAAAAAUGGCGAGGACAGUAGGGAGAAUGAAUCAUUGUGGCUAUUUUUGCAGUCAACCCCAGUGGACACGAUUUAACAUAGAGUCUCCUUCCUUGACAACACAGAAUGCUGUUACACUAAGUGGUGACUAAGUGUUACACCACUGAUGCUGAAUUCUGAUCCCAAUGUUGCAGCUCACCAUCUGGGUGACUGUGUUUCAGUUUACUUUCCUAUACAGUGAGACUGGCAAUAGGCCCUACCUCAUAGGGUCAUUAUGAUAAUGUAAUGAAUUACUGCACAUAAUAAUUGGAGGCCUGAAGUGCUCAAAAACUGUUAGCUAUUAUUAACAAAAUUAUGUUGCUUUGAAACUGUUAUUCACUUUCAUAUUUAUUUCUCUGCUAGACCUUAGACCCAUUGAGGGAGGGACCUUCCUGCAUUUAAUCUUUCAUCAGAAUUUAUUGAGCAUCAUGACAUGCCAGAUAGGAGCUGGGGGAUAACUGGCCUCAGUGGGACAGAAGCCUGUAACUAUGUUAUUUUUAGCACCACCUUUUGUUUGUUUUGUUUUGUUUUUUGUUUGUUUUUUGGUUUGUUGGCUGAGCCUGUGUGCAUGUGGAAUUUCCUGGGCCAGGGAUCAAACCCAUGCCACAGCAGGGACCCAAGCCCCUGUAGUGACAAUGCCAAAUCCUUAACCUGCCGUGCCACAAGAGAACUCUAGUACCAUGUGUAUCUGGUAUCUUACUUUCCUAAACUCCUACCUCCACUUUUUUUUUCCAUUUUUUAAAAUAACUUGUUGGUAUUAUUGUUUAAAUCUUUGGAAUGUUUUCAUACAUGUUUGGUGGUCUCUUUUACAUAUAUCCACUGGUUAUCCUGUGUGUGCCUCUUUGUGUUACUCCAGUCCCAUCAGUUAUAGUAGGUUAGUAAGGCUUUGACUUUUGUUACUGUAUUUUCCAGAACUUUUGUUUCUGUAUUUCCAGACUUUUGUUUCUAUAUCUAUUCCCCGUGUUCCUGAGUUUGUGGUAAAUGUUGAAUACUUUUAAAGGGAACUUAUUAUGUUCAUUUAGCCAAACAGUGGCAUCAUUUAUCCAUUCCUUCUGACAAAUGGGAGUAGUGAGUUCCCAGAGCUGUUGGAUGGAUUAUUUCUGUAAUUUUCAGCAGACAGCAGAGCCAUUUGGUACCUAGGUUUUCUCAUUUGCCAGUUGGGAAUAAAACUAAUGACCCUACUUGUCUAUAGGGUUUCAGUGAAAAGCAAAUUAAAGAAUAGAAUCAAACAAAUUGAGAGAAUGACUCAAUAUCUGUAAUGGGAAUGAGAUCACAUUUGAUAAGGAGCAAAAGUAGCUAAACCAGUGGAGGAGAGAAACUGGCAAAGAUGCCCAAAAUUCUAGGGACCAAAAGGAACUUGUAUCAGUCUAAAGAUUUUUGAAAAAAUAGGAAUAACAUUUUACUUAAUAUAAUUGCUCCCUAUCUUUUCCAUCUUUCCCAGCUUUCCCCCUACUUCAUGAAUGUAAAUCAAGGCUGAACACAGAAGCUUCUGUAUGAUGUAAAAUCACUGUUGUAGUUACUGUAAAAUGUUGCAUGUACUUCACUUCUAUAAGUACAAUGUGUUCUGCUUCACUUUUAUUUUACUCUAUUAGGUAUGCAGCCCAUUUGCCAGGGUGAGUUAUCUCCUCUUAGAGUUUGGUUAUAUACCUAGUCUAUUUUGUAAACAGAAUUUCCAUUAAAAAUGAAUUACUUUUCCUUCGAGCUUAUUGAUGGGGCUGACACAUCGCUAAAUUUCUUUUCUGAGCCAAGAUUUGUCACCUUGAUCAAAAGUUGGCAAAAUGCAAUUUGUGAUCACACGAAAGGUACAAGUGGUGUGUGCCCUUCAAAAGGUUUUCUUAGUGGCACACUUGCCCUUGAUUUUUGUCUUUAAAGCAAUUAACCAGCAGGAACAAAGAAAUAGCAGCUCUGCACUCUGACUCCUCAUAUAGUCUUGGCAUUCACCAGAAACACUUUUCUUCAUUUAGGAAGAAGUGUUCCUCUGACAGACAGUCUGGAACAAAGUGUACUCACACACGUACAGUGAGUCAAGAAUUGGAUUGUGAAACACGAGACCCCAAACAGUAAGCUAAAGAUGUAACAUCGAAUGCUUGGCAGAAAGAUUAUGUUGUAAGCCCUCUGAAAUCCAGCCCAUGACACAGUCAGGCAUUGCUGAUAUUAGCAAUCACUCCCCAAUAUUUCCAAAAAAGGAGGGAAGAAGAAAGUACUGGUUUGGUGAGCUUGUAUGUCUGCUUCUUUCAAUUUUAUCAAUCAAAACUUGUGAAAACAUGUUUUGUUCCCCUGCUUAUUAAUACAUGGUCAAG
rnacentral:lncRNA from 1 species